UACGUAGGGUGCAAGCGUUGUCCGGAAUCAUUGGGCGUAAAGCGCGCGUAGGCGGCCCGAUAAGUCCGCUGUAAAAGUCAACGGCUCAACUGUUGAAAGCCGGUGGAUACUGUCGGGCUAGAGUACGGAAGAGGCAAGUGGAAUUCCUGGUGGUAGCGGUGGAAUGCGCAGAUAUCAGGAGGAACACCUAUAGCGAAGGCAGCUUGCUGGGACGUUACUGACGCUAAGGCGCGAAAGCGUGGGGAGCGAACAGGA
rnacentral:rRNA from 1 species